rnacentral:tRNA from 1 species
UCCCUGGUGGCUCAGAUGGUAAAGCAUCUGCCUGCAGUGCAGGAGACCUGGGUUUGAUUCCCAGGUCCGGAA